CCUACGGGUGGCAGCAGUGAGGAAUAUUGGUCAAUGGGCGGGAGCCUGAACCAGCCAAGUCGCGUGAGGGAAGACGGUCCUACGGAUUGUAAACCUCUUUUGCCGGGGAGCAACGGGGUCCUUGCGAGGGCCCAAUGAGAGUACCCGGAGAAAAAGCAUCGGCUAACUCCGUGCCAGCAGCCGCGGUAAUACGGAGGAUCCGAGCGUUAUCCGGAUUUAUUGGGUUUAAAGGGUGCGUAGGCGGCCUUUUAAGUCAGCGGUGAAAGUCUGUGGCUCAACCAUAGAAUUGCCGUUGAAACUGGGAGGCUUGAGUAUGUUUGAGGCAGGCGGAAUGCGUGGUGUAGCGGUGAAAUGCUUAGAUAUCACGCAGAACCCCGAUUGCGAAGGCAGCCUGCCAAGCCAUGACUGACGCUGAUGCACGAAAGCGUGGGGAUCAAACAGGAUUAGAUACCCCUGUAGUC
rnacentral:rRNA from 1 species